rnacentral:rRNA from 1 species
AACGAACGCUGGCGGCAGGCUUAACACAUGCAAGUCGAGCGCUCACUUCGGUGAGAGCGGCAGACGGGUGAGUAACGCGUGGGAAUGUGCCUUUUGGUUCGGAAUAGCCCCGGGAAACUGGGAGUAAUACCGGAUGUGCCCUUCGGGGGAAAGAUUUAUCGCCAAAAGAUCAGCCCGCGUUAGAUUAGCUAGUUGGUGAGGUAACGGCUCACCAAGGCGACGAUCUAUAGCUGGUCUGAGAGGACGACCAGCCACACUGGAACUGAGACACGGUCCAG